UACGUAGGGUGCAGGCGUUAAUCGGAAUUACUGGGCGUAAAGCGUGCGCAGGCGGUUUCUUAAGUCAGAUGUGAAAGCCCCGGGCUUAACCUGGGAACUGCGUUUGAAACUGGGAGACUAGAGUGUGGCAGAGGGGGGUGGAAUUCCACGUGUAGCAGUGAAACGCGUAGAUAUGUGGAGGAACACCGAUGGCGAAGGCAGCCCCCUGGGUUAACACUGACGCUCAUGCACGAAAGCGUGGGGAGCAAACAGG
rnacentral:rRNA from 1 species